rnacentral:rRNA from 1 species
AGAGUUUGAUCCUGGCUCAGAAUGAACGCUGGCGGCAUGGAUUAGGCAUGCAAGUCGAACGCCCCGGUCCCUCGGGUCCGGGGAGUGGCGAAAGGGUGCGCAACGCGUGGGGAACCCGCCCCCGGGCCCGGGACAAGCGCUGGAAACGGCGUCUAAUACCGGAUGGAGGGGCCGCCGGCAUCGGCGGCUGCCGAAAGUCUUCUCGCCCGGGGAGGGCCCCGCGUCCCAUUAGCUGGUUGGCGGGGUGACGGCCCACCAAGGCGACGACGGGUAGGUGGUCUGAGAGGAUGGUCACCCACACUGGGACUGAGACACUGCCCAGACUCCUACGGGAGGCUGCAGUCGAGAAUCUUCCGCAAUGGGGGGAACCCUGACGGAGCGAUGCCGCGUGAGGGACGGAGGCCUUCGGGUCGUGAACCUCUGUCGCCCGGGACGAUGAUGACGGUACCGGGAAAGGAAGCCACGGCUAACCACGUGCCAGCAGCCGCGGUAACACGUGGGUGGCGAGCGUUAUUCGGAUUCACUGGGCGUAAAGGGUCCGCAGGGGGCCCGGCGCGCCCGCCGUGAAACGCCAAGGCCCAACCUUGGCCCUGCGGCGGGUACGGCCGGGCUUGAGCGCGCGAUGGGCAGACGGAACUCCGGGUGUAGCGGUGGAAUGCGUGGAUAUCCGGAAGAACACCGACGGCGAAGGCGGUCUGCUGGCGCGCGACUGACCCUCAGGGACGAGAGCGUGGGUAGCGAACAGGAUUAGAUACCCUGGUAGUCCACGCCGUAAACGUUGUGUGCCAGGCGUGCCGCGGUCGGCCCGUGGCGCGUCCAAGCCAACGCGGUAAGCACACCGCCUGGGGACUACGGCCGCAAGGCUAAAACUCAAAGGAAUUGACGGGGGCCCGCACAAGCGGUGGAGCAUGUUGCUUAAUUCGAGGCAACGCGAAGAACCUUACCCAGGCUUGACAUCCGGGGCACCGCCCUGAAAGGGGCGUCCCAGCAAUGGGCCCCGAGACAGAUGCUGCAUGGCUGUCGUCAGCUCGUGCCGUGAGGUGUUCGGUUAAGUCCGGCAACGAGCGCAACCCGUGCCGCCAGUUACCAUCGGCCGAGGCCGGGGACUCUGGCGGGACCGCCCGUGUCAAGCGGGAGGAAGGUGCGGAUGACGUCAAGUCCGUAUGGCUC